rnacentral:misc_RNA from 1 species
GUUUCAUCUUCGUAAAUUCUUGUAGAUAGAGGGAAGACUUCCAGAUUUCCGGGCCCAAAUUUGUGGAGUUUCUGCUUAUUUUAGUUUCUUAUUUUCUUCUUUGUUUUUUGCAUCUUAGUUUCUCUCACUAGAACUUUUCUGUUCUCUCUCCAGAGCUCAGUUUUUGGGGGUUCAAUGUGUAAAUUUGACAAACCCUAAUAUGUUGUUUUGGUUCAAAUCAUCUUAAGCUGAAGCGGUG